rnacentral:rRNA from 1 species
CCUGACGGAGCAAGACCGCGUGAGGGAGGAAGGCUCUUGGGUUGUAAACCUCUUUUAUCAGGGAAGAAGAUCUGACGGUACCUGAUGAAUCAGCAUCGGCUAACUCCGUGCCAGCAGCCGCGGUAAUACGGAGGAUGCAAGCGUUAUCCGGAUUUAUUGGGCGUAAAGCGUCCGCAGGUGGUUUUCCAAGUCUGCUGUUAAAGCGCAGAGCUUAACUCUGUAACGGCGGUGGAAACUGAGAGACUAGAGUAUGGUAGGGGUUGCGGGAAUUCCCAGUGUAGCGGUGAAAUGCGUAGAUAUUGGGGAGAACACCAGCGGCGAAAGCGCGCAACUGGGCCAUUACUGACACUCAUGGACGAAAGCUAGGGGAGCGAAAGGGAUUAGAUACCCCUGUAGUCCUA